UAGCCUACGGGGGGCAGCAGUAGGGAAUUUUCGUCAAUGGGCGCAAGCCUGAACGAGCAAUGCCGCGUGAACGAGGAAGGUCUUCGGGUCGUAAAGUUCUGUUGAAGGGGAAAAAGAGCGGAGAGAGGAAAUGCUUUCUGAUUGAUAUUACCCUUCGAGGAAGUCACGGCUAACUACGUGCCAGCAGCCGCGGUAAUACGUAGGUGGCGAGCGUUAUCCGGAAUGAUUGGGCGUAAAGGGUGCGUAGGCGGCCUGCUAAGUCUGGCGUGAAAGGUACUGGCUCAACCGGUAUAGGCUCUGGAAAU
rnacentral:rRNA from 1 species